CCUACGGGGGGCAGCAGUCGAGAAUCAUUCACAAUGGGGGAAACCCUGAUGGUGCGACGCCGCGUGGGGGAAUGAAGGUCUUCGGAUUGUAAACCCCUGUCAUGUGGGAGCAAAUUAAAAAGAUAGUACCACAAGAGGAAGAGACGGCUAACUCUGUGCCAGCAGCCGCGGUAAUACAGAGGUCUCAAGCGUUGUUCGGAAUCACUGGGCGUAAAGCGUGCGUAGGCUGUUUCGUAAGUCGUGUGUGAAAGGCGCGGGCUCAACCCGCGGACGGCACAUGAUACUGCGAGACUAGAGUGAUGGAGGGGGAGCCGGAAUUCUCGGUGUAGCAGUGAAAUGCGUAGAUAUCGAGAGGAACACUCGUGGCGAAGGCAGGUUCCUGGACAUUAACUGACGCUGAGGCACGAAGGCCAGGGGAGCGAAAGGGAUUAGAUACCCCAGUAGUC
rnacentral:rRNA from 1 species